AUGGACCAUGAGAUUCCAUACAAUAGGUCCUAUGCGUGGGACUCGGAGGAUGAAGGCCCGGAUGAAGAAAUAGAUGAGGAUGGUUUGACGGCUAAAGAAGCUAAUGCUUUCAAGAAGGUAAUAGGCCGUAGUCACAAGACAUCAUUGUUUUGUGAUCUAAGCCUAGCCGAUAAGGCGAUUGUUGAUGGUGGCACAAGUAAAAUUCUUGCACCAAGG
rnacentral:rRNA from 1 species